rnacentral:rRNA from 1 species
GACGUAGGGCGCGAGCGUUGUCCGGAUUUAUUGGGCGUAAAGAGCUCGUAGGCGGCUUGUCGCGUCGACCGUGAAAACUCGCAGCUCAACUGCGAGCCUGCGGUCGAUACGGGCAGGCUAGAGUUCGGUAGGGGAGACUGGAAUUCCUGGUGUAGCGGUGAAAUGCGCAGAUAUCAGGAGGAACACCGAGUGGCGAAGGCAGGUCUCUGGGCCGAUACUGACGCUGAGGAGCGAAAGCGUGGGGAGCGAACAGG